rnacentral:rRNA from 1 species
GGAAAGGCGCGCGAUACAGGGUGACAGCCCCGUACACAAAAAUGCACAUGCUGUGAGCUCGAUGAGUAGGGCGGGACACGUGGUAUCCUGUCUGAAUAUGGGGGGACCAUCCUCCAAGGCUAAAUACUCCUGACUGACCGAUAGUGAACCAGUACCGUGAGGGAAAGGCGAAAAGAACCCCGGCGAGGGGAGUGAAAAAGAACCUGAAACCGUGUACGUACAAGCAGUGGGAGCACGCUUAGGCGUGUGACUGCGUACCUUUUGUAUAAUGGGUCAGCGACUUAUAUUCUGUAGCAAGGUUAACCGAAUAGGGGAGCCGAAGGGAAACCGAGUCUUAACUGGGCGUUAAGUUGCAGGGUAUAGACCCGAAACCCGGUGAUCUAGCCAUGGGCAGGUUGAAGGUUGGGUAACACUAACUGGAGGACCGAACCGACUAAUGUUGAAAAAUUAGCGGAUGACUUGUGGCUGGGGGUGAAAGGCCAAUCAAACCGGGAGAUAGCUGGUUCUCCCCGAAAGCUAUUUAGGUAGCGCCUCGUGAAUUCAUCUCCGGGGGUAGAGCACUGUUUCGGCAAGGGGGUCAUCCCGACUUACCAACCCGAUGCAAACUGCGAAUACCGGAGAAUGUUAUCACGGGAGACACACGGCGGGUGCUAACGUCCGUCGUGAAGAGGGAAACAACCCAGACCGCCAGCUAAGGUCCCAAAGUCAUGGUUAAGUGGGAAACGAUGUGGGAAGGCCCAGACAGCCAGGAUGUUGGCUUAGAAGCAGCCAUCAUUUAAAGAAAGCGUAAUAGCUCACU